rnacentral:rRNA from 1 species
CCCUUAGACGCCUUGGGCCGCACGUGCGCUACAAUGACAUGCUCAACGAGUUCUAUCCUGAUUCGGAAGAAUUUGGGUAAUCUUUAUAGGACAUGUCGUGUUAGGGAUCGAUCUUUGGAAUUAUAGAUCUUGAACGAGGAAUUCCUAGUAAGUGCAAGUCAUCAGCUUGUACUGAUUACGUCCCUGCCCUUUGUACACACCGCCCGUCGCUGCUACCGAUUUCGAGUGGUCCGGUGAACCACAUAGACUUUGCAGCAAUGCUUAGGAAGUGUAGUAAACCUUAUCACUUAGAGGAAGCAGAANUCGUAACA